GAAAUACAUAUCAAGAACUAAUCCUCCAGUGUCUUGUUUAUUCAGGUUCCAUUUGCUCGUUCCUCACUAAACCACGACGAUGUCUUUAUCUUGGAUACUGAAAAGAAAAUAUAUCAAUUCAAUGGUGCUAACUCCAAUAUUCAAGAAAGAGCCAAAGCACUGGAAGUGAUCCAACAUUUAAAGGACAAGUACCAUGAAGGAGUUUGUGAUGUUGCAAUUGUUGGUGAGAUGGCCAACAUUUUAACUAAAUACUUGUGACAUAGUGAAGCAAGUAAACACAUUUACUUAAGUUGCUUUUUAUAAUAGAUGAUGGAAAAUUGCAAGCAGAAUCAGAUUCCGGUGAAUUCUGGGUCGUUUUUGGUGGUUUUGCACCAAUAGGGAAGAAAGCUCUAAGUGAUGAUGAUGUUAUUCUUGAAACUACACCAACAAAGCUUUACAGGUAGCUCUACAAGGAUUUUUUUUUGAAAUAAUUGUAAAAGGAUUGCAACAUCAAACUAACCAACAAUUAGGUACUCAUCAAUUUUGAACUUAUGCAAUGUUAUAGUGAAUUACAUAUUUGUACCUACAAAAGGCAGUUACACCUAUUGGAGAGUCAGAAGUGGGGGCUGUGAGAUGUGACUCAGUAGGUUGAGAAGAUGGAGACUUCGUACCUCUCUUCGUAAAAUAGAAACUUCACAUAUAGAAGUUUAUGGUUAAAGAGUGUAGACAUUGAAAUAGCUCGACGCUAUGCUGAAACUAAAAUCCUUUGGACGGUGUUUGGAUAUCUCUCAUUACCAUUUCUUAGAUUAGCCUGCUCUUUCUAUAGGUUUCUGCAAUUUCCUGUUAGUCAAGUAAUAUCUACUGAAUGGGCAGCAGACUUCUAGUUGACCCGUAAAGUUUAUUACUCCUUCUGUCCCAUAAUAUAAGAUGUUAUUACAACCAAUAUGCGAGGGAGUACUAUAUAUGGAGUAUAUCGGUUGUAAUAACAUCUUAUAUUAUGGGAUGGAGGGAGUACUAUAUAUGUAGGUCUGCGUGCCCCAUUGUACGCUAGAUUUAUUUUACAAGUUUUCAGUCUCAACUUUGUAUUCAUUCCUUGAACUGUCUUCAGUCUUUACACAUGUCAACUGUUAUGUUUGCAGUGUCAAUAAUGGUAAACUGACGUUAGAAGAUACCGUUUUGACAAAAUCAAUUCUUGAGAACACUAAAUGCUUUUUACUUGACUGCGGGUCCGAGUUAUAUGUAUGGGUUGGUCGAGUAACACAAGUGGAUGAUAGAAAAGCUGCAAGUGUGGCGGUUGAGGUAAACGCACAAGACAUCCUUUUGAGCUUCUUAUCUUGUUCAAAUAAGUCAUCCUAUCUAUAUCUUUGAUUUGCAGGAAUUCAUUGUUAAGCAAAAUAGGCCAAAGACAACAAGAGUAACUCAAGUAAUUCAAGGUUAUGAGGACCAUACGUUCAAGUCCAAAUUUGAUUCGUGGCCUGUAACUAACGCGGCAGGAGCCAGCGGGGAGGAUGGCCGAGGAAAAGUUGCAGGUAAUUUAUUUUUUAUUGUACAUUGGGAUAUUAAAAAGUUCCUCUUUUGAUUGGUGUUGAGAAUACUUUGUUCUCCUCUAGCGCUGUUGAAGAAAAAAGGUGAUGUUAAGGGAGCCUCAAAAAACAGCCCUGCAGUAAAUGAGGAAAUUCCUCCUUUGCUAGAAGGCGGUGGAAAGCUUGAGGUUUUGCUUAUCAUGCAUCAUAAUUUACGUGUUAUUUUAAUAACCACAACUGGAAACAGGAAAGUGCCAUAAAAACAUUAUGCACAUAUUUCAGGUAUGGUGUGUUGAUGGCAGUGCUAAGACUGCUCUUCCGAAGGAAGAUCUUGGAAAAUUUCAUAGCGGGGAUUGUUAUAUUGUUCUCUACACAUAUCAUUCGGGUGACAAAAGAGAAGAAUUCUAUCUAACUUACUGGAUUGGGAAGAAUAGUAUACUGGUAACUGGGUUUUCACCUUUCUCAAAUGUUUUAUAUACAGCACCUUACUAUUGUUAUAUUUGCUUUCUCGUCUUUUUUUUUUGAAAUUGCACCAUAUUUUUGUGACUUUUCUUACUUUGCGUGUGAUCACCACAUCAUUGUGAUGAUAAAUUUGAUUUUAUGUAUUGCACGUUUUCUUCUUGACCUUUCUGUUAUUUUUAAUGAAUUCUUAUUCUUCUCAGCACAGUUAGUUAUUUCUUUGUCAUGUUUGUUAUUAAUCCCCACCCCACCACAAAACUGUGAACUUACUCUGUGAUUUAUUUCUUACAGGAAGAUCAGCAUACGGCUCUUCAAAUAACUAAUACAAUUUGGAAUUCAAUGAAAGGAAGACCUAUUCUGGUACUGUAUUUAUGUCGUGACAAUUUGCACAAUAUAUCCAGAAAGGAGUUUGACAUGUCUUGUAUUUGGUAUUGCAGGGUCGUAUUUAUGAAGGGAAGGAGCCUCCACAGUUUAUUGCUCUUUUCCAGCCCAUGGUUAUCCUUAAGGUAUGGUCUCUGCUUCCUACCUUACUCAAGUAAUGUAUACUGAUUGGGUUCAUAAUAACUUAAUAAGUGCUAUCCUGUGAGGAGCAAACUAUGGACUGGUAGUUCUAAAAAAACUAUGGAUUGAUCUGUAUAGCUGAAGAUAUUUACAUUGUCAAGUACUCCCUCUGUAAACUUUUAUAAGGCUUUUUAGAUCACUAAAGUAUGAUCUAAAAAAUCCUAUAAAAGUUUACAGAGGAAGUAUAAACUAAGGUUAUUACUAAAAUCAUGCAGGGUGGAAUCAGCUGCGGGUACAAGAAUUCUGUACAAGAGAAGGGCUUGCCAGAUGAAACAUAUCCUGGCACUGGUGUCGCUCUUGUUAGAAUUAAUGGAACGUCAAUUCAUAACAAUAAAACACUUCAAGUCGAUGCGGUAUGGUCUACCUCUACCUGUGCUUAUUUGAUUCCAAAUGAUAAUAUUUCUUGGAAGUAUGAAACUGUAUUUAAUGCUUAUUUUUAUGUUGUUAAGAUGACAUAUCAUAAUAAUGACUAAGAAUUUAGUUAGCUUCUGAGAUUCUUUUUACUCAAAUGUAGUUUCAUGACUUGGCAUAAAUGAUUCAUAAUAGAGUAUCUUAAUGGUAAACAGUGAAAAAUUCAUAGAAUGGUGGUAUACCCGUGCUGUUACGAAGCAAUGCUGUGAAGUAAAUAUAGUAGGUUAACCUGUGAUUGCGCAUCCAUCAUUUGUGCAUCUGUGCGUUAAAAUUUUGGCGAGUUUUUGUACACAAUCAUCGUGACUUACGUGCCAUUUUAUAGUUAAUGUGAUUGCUUAUGAAAAAAUGGAUUUUACUUCAUAAUCAUUUGAAAUGGAUAUUAGGGAAAACCAGUGGAAAAAACCAGAGAUGGGAGUGGGAAAAAAAUCAAAAUUGGGAGGAGGGAGGGCUGACCAUACGUGGGGGUUUGGACGAAGGAAAGAAGAGCGAAACGUCAACCUUAUGUUCUUUCUAAAUAGUGGAGACAGAGAUUGGACUGAUUUUCUGAUAAUAAAACUCUGUCGCCCACAUUCUUGUUCUUCAGAAUGACCUUUUAGCUUACUUUGCUCAUUAAAAACUUACAAACAUCCAGCGUCAUUCUCGUUUACAUAUUGACCACUAACCUUAGGUAGUACGAAUCAAACAUUUGCUACCUUUAAUUAACUCGUCAGUAACAAUUUUAUAGGUGUCAACAUCCUUGAGUUCCACGAAUUGUUUUGUCCUGCAAUCUGGAAAUUCAAUGUUUAUAUGGAUUGGCAACACAAGUUCUUAUGAACAACAACAGUGGGCUGCAAAAAUUGCUGAGUUCUUGAAGGUAUGAAAAAAGAUACCACCUUGUUAUUUCCCUUCUGUCUUUUGUAGUUAGUGCAAUUUCAUGUAUACAAAAAAAAAAGAUAAACUGUGCUCCUAUUGAUAACUUGUGAAUCUGUGAAAGUGAAGCUGAUGUUACAUUUUCUCAUUCUCAUUGUUCGUUCUCAUGAAAUAUCUUUCUAGGCCUUAGAUCAAAUGAGAUGACAUCUGUUGAGUUGUAUAUAGUUGUGUUUGUGUGUGGCCAUGAGUCCCAUAUACCCUUGUAAGGUCGGUAUGUAUGUGACUUGUACUAUGAUCCUUAUGAUAUAAAUGAGACAUGUAUUACAAUGCAAAAAANNNNNNNNNNNNNNNNNNNNNNNNNNNNNNNNNNNNNNNNNNNNNNNNNNNNNNNNNNNNNNNNNNNNNNNNNNNNNNNNNNNNNNNNNNNNNNNNNNNNNNNNNNNNNNNNNNNNNNNNNNNNNNNNNNNNNNNNNNNNNNNNNNNNNNNNNNNNNNNNNNNNNNNNNNNNNNNNNNNNNNNNNNNNNNNNNNNNNNNNNNNNNNNNNNNNNNNNNNNNNNNNNNNNNNNNNNNNNNNNNNNNNNNNNNNNNNNNNNNNNNNNNNNNNNNNNNNNNNNNNNNNNNGUUGGAAACUUCUGCGGAACUUACGGUGAACUGGAGAGGAAAAAAUCAUCCUGAAUUUUGAUUUGGACUAAUCUACUACUACCUCCGUUCACUUUUAUAAGGCCUUGAAGGCAUUUCAGACAGUGUGCAAAGCAAUCUAUUUUUCACUUGUCUGAAACGACUUACAAAAGUGAACGGAGGGAGUAGAAGAAUGAUAAUCUCAAGAUAAAAUUUAACAAUGUAUCAAUACCAGUCUUAUUUUCACCAACUUUAUCUAAGGGUAGUUCAUGUUUAACAACUUUACCAUAUUCGAGCUGUAAGCGGCCAAAUAUGAGCAAAUUUGUAUGGAAAUAGCAAAGUGCUCUUAGCUACAUUUUUCUUCAUUUUAUUUUAAGUGCCUUUUCAUGAAAUUUUCUGAUAUUAAAACCAAACCACUAUGCAUAACAGAUGCACCAGUUGCACAUGUGACACUGAAGUUACAAACAACUGGAAAGGCUACACAAAAUCUGUCUGAUUGGAGGGAACUUGUUUCUACCUAAUAAAUUGCAUGAAUGCAAUGCAAUAUUUGAAUUAAGAUGGUUGUUUACAGUUCCUGUUGUAAAUUUUGUACUCCCUCCGAUCCAUAUUACUUGUCGUUCAAACGGAUGUAUCUAGACGUAUUUCAGUGCUAGAUACAUCCAUUUGAGCGACAAGUAAUAUGGAUCGGAGUGAGUAGUACUUUACAAAACACUGACCUCCAUGAGUAAAACAUUAGAGAAUAUGAAAUAAUAUUAACAGGAUUGCUGUCACAGAUAAGGCCCCGUUUGGAACGCAGGAUUUUUGUAGGAAACAGUUGCAUCCUACAGAAGGAAACAGGGCAAAUCCCUGCUUCCAAACGCGACUGACUUGGUUGUCAAGCCCCUCGAAUAUCCUGUUCUUACUACAGAACGUUUGAUAUUUCCAUCAAUUUCCAGCUACUUAUUGCUAACUAUAAUUAUGUGAUGUGAUGUGUUCCAAACCACAGCCUGGCGUUGCUGUCAAACAUUGCAAGGAGGGAACCGAGAGCUCUUCUUUCUGGUCUGCUCUAGGUGGAAAACAGGAUUACUCAAAUAAAAAUGCCACACAAGAUGUUGUUAGAGAACCCCAUCUCUACACAUUCUCAUUUAGGAAUGGUCAGUUCUAUUCUGAACUUAAAUCCAUAUUUUUUUGUCUUAUUGCUACUACUUUGGGAGUUUAUAUUCUUUAAGUACCCUAAUCAUCUUCUGUUGUGUUGUUUUCAUUGUUCAUGUCGCGCCACGUACCAGGCAAGCUGGAGGUUUGUCAUCUUAUUCUUUGAAGCCUAAAUUUUGUAUGCUCCAGCACUUCAGGAUUGCAAAUUUUGAAGAAGCUUCUUUAUCUGUAGGUAACUGAAGUUUACAAUUUUUCACAAGAUGAUCUGUUGACCGAAGAUGUGAUGGUACUUGACACACACGCCGAAGUCUUUGUCUGGAUGGGUCAGUGUGUGGACACAAAAGAGAAACAAAUGGCAUUUGAAAUUGGCGAGGUAUAAUAUGAAGUAUUAUCUUUGUUGUUUUCAUCUGUAUUAGUACCAUUCAACGUAGAUAAAUAACCACUUUUCCGCAGAAAUACAUAGAACAUGCGGUGACCUUCGAAGGUCUUGCUUCUGACGUGCCUCUCUAUAAAGUCAGUGAAGGAAAUGAACCUUGCUUCUUUAGGACAUACUUCUCCUGGGAUAGCACAAGAUCUCUGGUAUGCCAUUCUUAUUUACCAAUUGCAUCUUACUUUUCUUUUCUCUCACUUCUAACUCUCUUCUAUUUAUCACCAUUUAUAUGGGGUAGCAGAUAUUUUGAACGGUUUACUUCAGAGGCAUUGCUACUCUCCUCUCAAAAACCUGCCUCCUUAGCACACUACUUGUGCUCAUCUACCGCUAAGUCUACAACUCUCUGCACCAGCGACGCCUUGCCGUCAAAUACUCUGGUGUUCUUUUACCCAAAAAGGCUUUCAUCCCGCUUUAUAUAUAAAGCAACGAUCAACAACAACCCGGUACAACGCAUGCCACCACAACACACGCACGCACCCAAGGCUGGAUACAUAGGUGCUGAUCACAGCAACACCACCCCUAGCACUACAAGAGCAACCGGGGGCUCAAUCGGGAACACGCCACCGCAAAGACGAACCAUGGGCUUCAAGGCGGCGCCUUCAGGAAGGAUACGACACUGGAGCGCCGCCACCGCCCGAUUCGAGGAUCAGAGUUUCCCCUGGAGCAGCACGACGGGCAGUGAGAGCCACGACGACGCCUUCAAGAAGGGAACGAGCUUCGCCGCCGUAGGUCUGUUCGAAGAUAGAACAGGUUUUCACCCCGGCCAACACUCACCGCCACCGAACGCUACACCCCGCCUACCACGCCGCCCACACGGCCAUGGCCACCGGGCAGCACCAAGCCACGGGCUCUGCCCAAAAGCACAACACUACCACCACCAGGGCCGCCGCCCUGGCAUCCAAGACCUUGACACCACCUCACCCGAGAUCCGCCACUACCCUAGCCAAAGAGACGAGCGGAAAGGACCCGCCUUUCACACCCCUGGGCAGCUCCCAGCGCCGAGACCCAAUAGGCUGGCCAAAGCUAUCCUCCAUCGACUCAUCCUGCAGCACCGGGCACGAGACGAGCUCGGUCCUACGGCACCGUGUGCGAAACGAGGUCGGUCUUGCUGCACCGUGCGCGAGACGAGCUCGGUCCUGCUACACCGUGCGCGGGACGAGGUCGGUAAUGCCGCACCGGGCGCGAGACAAGCGAUGGACAGCAGCUGGGAGAAGGACAACCCUUCGACGAAAGUAGUGUCCGGACGACGAGGAGAGGGGUCGAAGGCCGACACAGGGCGCCUACAAGCGAGCCGACGCUAGAACAAGCCAACCGCCGCCGCAACCAACCUGCCACCUCGCGAGCCGCUCGCCGACAGGCCGACGCCGGAGAAGACCGGCCGCCGCCGUGGAACGGCCCGGACCAUCGCCAUGAGCCACCACCACUCCGUGGCAGACCACAUCCACACCGGGACCCCGAGGGCCAGCCCCGAGCCACCCGCCGGCGGCCAUGGGCCAGAUCCGAGCUGAUCUGGCCGACCACCACCGCCACCAGCAGCAGCAGUAGGCGUGCCGCCUUGGUCCACGGCCAUCACCACGACCCCACCAGGCCGCAGCCUACCCCCGCGCCGCCCGACGCCCACACGCACGCCAGACCAGAUCGGAUCUGGACGGGGCCGCCGCCACCAAGUGCGCACCACCGCCGCCAUACGCACACCGCCCCCGCCAGGUGCGUGCCGGCCCGCCCCCGCCCGAUCUGGCCUGAGCGCCCGAUCCGAAUCCGCCGCAGCCGCUGCACCGCAAAUGUCCGGCCAGCUGCCGCUGCGACGCCACUAGGCGCCCUCGCUGUCGAUCCGGAUCAACGCCGCCGCGCCGCUGGCCCCCGCCGUAGGCCAGCGCCCCCGGACGAGCGGCCGACCCGCGCCAGCCAUGAUUCUCGCGCGGAGGGGAGACGAAGGCCCCGCUGCCGCCCUUGCCAGCCGGGCUUUGCCAGUUGGGCGGCGGCAGGGGAGGAGGACAGAGGGAGGAGGUGAGGAGCGGCGGCGAUUAGGGUUCCCCCAGGCGCUCGCGGGAGCGCCGUGGGAGGGAGAGGGGAGAGAGUCCUGGCGUUCCUUUCUAACCAAAGAUUGUGGAAUCCCACUAUUAUGAUAGAAGUCAAUUCUCUCACCUUAGUCCGAAUCUGUUGCUUAUCGAGCACCACCGUUCUCUCGCUGAUGUUCAUUUUUGGAGUUAAGCUUUGAAGUCUGAAGCUACGGAGGAAAAAAGCCCAGAAAUGUCUGGCAAACAGCACUGCACCAUGAGAUGGUCGAUGAACUCCGCAGCCUGAUUGCAAAGCAGGCAGUAGGGUGGGUGUUGCAUUCCCCGUCAGGCGAGCCGAUCAGCUGUCUAACGUGGAUCUCUAAUCACAAGGCA
rnacentral:lncRNA from 1 species